AACAUUUUUUAUUCUCCUGUCUGAAUACCCUCUCAUUUGUCCAUAGCUGUCUGACUCCGAGAUGCCCAGAAAGGAAUGCAGCAUUCCAGGCUGUCUGUGAUGAUGACUGUGUAAUCUUCUGUUUUGAAGCUGGCACUCACAAUCAAGGCAUUUACUGAACAACCAAGUCUUUCCAGAAAUGAGCUAAAAUUGCAAGGCAACGUAAAUGCCAAGUAUGAUGGGAGGAGUGAGCAUUUCCUUAGGAGAAGCAAAUUCUAGAGUUAAGGACCCUCUGCUGAUUAUAAUCUGCCUUCAGGCACACAGCUCUGAAGACUGUCGUUUCCAGCAUAACAUCUUGUCACAAUAGCCUUGGUGCUGCACAGAAAGAGAGGUGUCCACUGAUCAGGAAGUCAGACAUCCCAAUUCUGUCACCUGCACCUACAAUGAAUUGUGGGUAGAAAACUGGAGACUUCAUUAAGAUUACAAAAUCAGGUCAUAAUUUUUCAGUGGCAGCAUUUUUAUUGAUAUGACUUAGAUAGCAUUUCUGGGCUUUGCAGAAGAAGUGGUUGUGACCAGAAGCACCCCUAUAUUCACACCCUAGAGAAUUGUAAUAAUCUUUGUACAGAACAUGCCUUGUACGUUAUCAUUU